rnacentral:lncRNA from 1 species
UUUUUUUUUGUCCUUUCCUUUGCGUUUUUUCCUUUUUUUCAAUAAUUCAGGAUAUCAACAGCUUCUAAAUUUCAGUAAAAGUUGCUAAUUUUGAAAAAAAAACAAUCAUGAUUUCGAAAAAAAAAUCAUUAUUUCAAAAAGAAGCUCAGGAAUUCAAAAAAUGUUCAUGAAUUUGUAAAAGAAUGUUCACGAAUUUAAAAACAAUGUUCACGAUUUCAAAAAAAGUUCAUGCAUUCGCGAAAUGUUCAUGAAUUUGCAAAAAAUGUUUAUCAUUCGCGAACCAUAUUAGAGAGUGGGGCUCCGGCAUUACCUGUGCGUGUUGUCUCUCUACCUCGACGGGUUCCUCAUCAUUGGCAUUGCCAAGCCUGGCGAUGAGCGUUGGACACUGGUUCAGAUCGGAUAUUUUCGAGGUACAGCUCCCUUGAUGUUCUUAGGUCGCUUGUACUACACCACAGACAACCUCAUGGUGCUGGAGAUGAGGGCGGAUCGGCGACCACGGAUGAAGGUGGCUGCCAAGUUGCGGGGGAACGUUUGUAGGACGGCGAGUACCGCGCACCUCAUCGACAACGGUGGAGAGUUAAUGGUGGUGCACCGCAUGCUUUCUCGUUCACACAACUCAAGGUACAAAGUGUAUCGACUGGAUUUGGAUAACAAGAGACUACUCCAGGUCAAGACCUUGAGCGAGCGGGCGCUGUUCUUGGGGAUGCAUUACUCUUUCUCGGUGUGCACGAGGGUUUUCCCCUCCAUUUGUGGUGACACUAUCUAUUUUAGCUUUGAUCUUCAGGAUAGAUUUGAUGAGCACAUUGAGGCCUACUAUCUCACCGACAAAAAGCAACAAGCCGGCAAACUACAUCUUAAACAGCACUUUGUGCAGAGUCGUGCCAUCGCCAUAUAGUGUCGCCGACUAUCUCUCCUUCUGCAAUACUUUCAAAACUUCCGGAUUGUAUUCGAAUUGGUUGGCAUCACUAAUAACUUGAGUUCUGAAUUGAGCAUAGCUUAGAUGGUUAGGUUUCUUGUGGUGGAACCAGCCUGCCAGGUUUAAGUCCAAGACUUGCACGGGUGUGUGCAUUUUCCUGAAUUUCUUCUAGGCUUUCUGGUGAUGUUCGUUUAGUGGAAGAGGACGUUUACAUUGACUAUGAGGCGUUUGUUAUGACUUCAUCAAUCUCAAGAUUUGUUGGCUUGGUCUCUCGAAGGUGUUCACAAGGAUAGGAUGUGUGUGUGUUCAUGAGAAAGAGUGUGUGAGCAUUUGCAUCUGUAGUGUGUUUUAAGACAAAUAAAAGAAAUGAGUUUACCCCUCGGAUGGGCUGUGUGGCAAGUGUGCCUAUAUUAUAUUCAAGCAUGUACACCAUGUGCAGUAGUACUUUGGGAGUAUAUCCCGGAUAGUUGGCAUUUGUACCUGAAGUUGGGAAGCAUAUGUGGUAUGUGCAGUUGGGCCAAACCUAGAAUCAGGGUGUCUGUUUCCCUCCAGUAGCCUCGACUUUCUCUUGCAAUCGCAUGUUGGGUGUCUUUUUGUGGACUUGUACAUAACAUUUUCUGUCAGUUCUAUGUAUCAAGACACUAAGCCUUUUGUGUUUUCUCAAAAAAAAAAAAACAAAAAAAAAACUGGCUCUUCCUGUUUUCACUUCCUUUUAUGAAUAUAAGCUUCGCUGAAUUAUAUCUGUAUAAGCCUCUUGCAUGAAGAGUUUAUCAAGAGUUUUGACUUUUGAGUGUCGAAUUUUGUGUUGGAUUCCUUCAUGAAUGUGCUGGCUCGAAACAUUCCUGAUAUACACGAAGAAAGCAAAUUCUGCUCACUGUCCUCAAUGGGUAAGGAACCCGAUGAAGCACAACAUGCAAUGGAAGUUGAAAAACCAAUGGCAUGAGCCUAAUUCGUAUACGAGGGCUGGUAGAGAGUAAAAUGGCAACACAAAUAUGGAUACUAAAUAAGUAUCAUUGAAAUUAGCAAGAAUUUCCGUACAAAAUAUCAUGAAGUACGCACAGAAUAUGCAUGUGCCCUCUGAAUAUUUGAAUGAAUAACAAUCUAGAAUAUAGUAUUGCACUUCAUCCAUGAACAACCAGGACAGGUGCUUAAAUUCGGCUUCAGACAAAACACCUCAAGAAAUUAUAGGAACAAAAGUUACAUGCUUCAUUUCACGCAUCAUGUGAUGCAGAAGCUUAUGAAUUACAUGGACAGUCUUAUGAUUCUCUCAAAAUAAUGUUUGAUAAUUCUACACCAUCACAAGAAUCAUCCCAUGUGUGUGUUCUGCCUUUUUCUGACAUCGUCUCACAGCAGAGCGAAUCAUAGAUAACUGAACGGUUCCGAUCCUAGUAAACCUCAACGUGCCAUUGCUUGUUCUUCUUGAGCUGCGAUAGCUUCUGAUCCCAGCUCUCCCCUCUCUGUUCUGCCACCUUCUUGAGUGUAUCCUGAAUCCCUGGCAUCAUUCCUUUCAAACCACAGAAGUAGAUGUGUGCACCGCCAUCCAAAAGCUUGAAAAUCUCAUCGCUGUACUCCUCAAUCUUGUCCUGAACGUACAUCUUGCCGCCACUCUUGUUCUUCUGCUCCCUACUUAGUGCUUUGUCGAACCUACAAAUUCAACACACUCAAUUAUGUUAUAUUCAAUUGUGCACACCCAAUCUACGAUCACAGAAGCAUCCAAGUCAAUAACAAAAUGGCGUUUGGGGCAUGUGUAAAGAUAAUAACAGAAACAGGGUAUGAAGAUGGAAGAGGUCUAAUAACCUGAAAUUGUCUGGAUACUGCUUCAGGUAGCUUGUGAAUUCUUCGUCAUAAAGAAGGCUGUCCGAAUUAGCCACACCAAGGAAGAGCCAAGCCAGGCCACCAAAUCUGAAAUUUGGGACAUCUUCCAUGAACAUGCGGCGUAGGUACCCGCGGUAGGGAGCAACACCAGUGCCAGUGGCAAUCAUGAUAUGGGUUGCAUUUGGAUCACUCUCAGGUAGGAGCAUUAUUUUGCCAGAGGGCCCUGGGGUCAGAAAGAAAUGAUAGUGUGAUGCAUAAACUUUAGAACAUCCAUCAUAUGCCAUGAACUAUGAGUAUACACAAUUCUACCAGAAAGAGUAUGUGCAUACAUGUUUGGUUUGUAUCUCGGAACAGGAAGCAGCACAUUGUUUGAAGGACAUUUAUUAUAUGCAUCGAAAUUAGACUUUUAUCCAAAAAUAAUAAUCAAGUACGACAAAACUAAUAGAACAGAUCCAGUUGGCAGCAGCCAGCAGGACAGAAAGAAGAUAGCUAUUAGUGUCAGCGGUAGCCAUACUGUAAGAGGCUCUUGGAUACAAAGGAUUUAUUAUUUGUCUGGCUAGUGCGUCAGAAGUUACCCCCCAAAAAAAGUUGCUCUUAUUCAGAAUGUACACUGUAAGCCAGUGGCACUGUGAAAAAUUCCCCUCUUUCUUAAUGUUCUGGAAGAAUGGUUACUCCCUACUCCAUCUUAAUUUACAUCCUACACAAUGUGUAUAUAUGUCUAAUGCUCUUUUUGUCAAAGGAUUCAGAAAUAGAUGGUUUAAGACAAAUGAACUUUAGGAACACGUAAACGAGAAAACUUAGCCCUUUUAGAGUUAGAGGCGCUCAUAUAAAACUGCUAACACACAAGAGCCUUUUGCAUCCAUCUAAAAGAAAGCAACCAACCUGUCAUCUGAAUCUUGUCCCCAGGCUUUGAGUUGCAUAGGAAAUUACUGCAGACACCAUUCUUCGAGGGGUCCUCCUUGCCAGUUUCAGGAUCAUAAUAAACUGCACGGCGAACACAUAAACUGGCAGUCUUCCCGUCAAAUGAAUCCCCAUACCUAGUAGAUGCAAUGGAGUACAGCCUGACAUUCUGUGGGUUUCCAGGCUUCUUUGGGUUCUCUCCCUGAUAGAUGCACACAAGGUUCAAUGAGCAAUGAAGAUGGGUGGUGAAAACAAGGAUGGACGACAGCAAGGUAAUGAAUAGAUAUUUGGUACUUGAGUUAACCUAAAGAUGGUGAAAACAUGGACGACAGGAAAUGCUAUGAACAGAUAUGUGGUACUUGAGUUAACCUAAAGCAAUUCUCCUACACAAAGCAUCAAGCAGCAUACUCAAAUCAAUGUCUACAGAUUUGAACAUAAUUCAAGUACAGCAUAACUUGAUAUGUUUAUCCUCUUAUUUAAUAAUAUAUACAACCCCUGUUCUGUUCAGUAUUCAGUAAGACAGACACAGGAUGAAAGAGAAAGUGGUUGAAAUGGCUAAACGCUAACUGGAGGAAUAACCCUAAGGUAAUUCUCCUAGAAUAAAAUCAAGCAGCAUACGCAAAUCAACGUCUAUAACUUUGAACAUAAUUUUUUCAGUACAGCACAACUUGAUAUGUUUAUCCUCUUAUAUUUAGCAAGACAAAGAGUCCCCUGUUCAGUAUUCAACAAGACAGAGGAUGAAGCUGAGAAAGUGAUGGAAUGGGCUAAACACUUACCGGAGGAAUAAUCCCAUAGCUCUGCCCCUCCCAGUACGGCACAUUGCCACCAUGGUCGAUGACGACAUGGCACGUCUCUCCUGGGGCGUUAGGCCCUACAGCCCGCUCAACCGAGACGAUGGUGGCGGUGUAAGGGCCCUUGGGCUUGUAGGUGUUGAGCGGCGGCUCCUUGGCACUCUCCAGGUCGAGGGGCACGACAGAGACCUUGCUCUUGCUCGACUGCUGGACAGCCCGGCAGACAUGCCCCCGCUGCGCCGCGGCCUUGCUGUCGCACGCCAAUGCGGUGCCGAUCCAUGAUUUGUUGCCGAAGCUGAGACUGUUGAUGCCCUGAAAUGUAACAAAAGGUGAAAUCAGCAUACUGUUGGUGUUGGGGGCGGCGCUGAAAGGGCUGUGAACUGGGGCUCCACGGCAUAGCGAAGCAAGAGCCCUGAAGAAGUACUGAAUGCGCAUGUACUGCUACUGCUAUGUGUGUCCUAUUUGUAAGUUAUACUACUAGCUAAUCUCUGCAACCAAAGCAAGAGCGCUGAAGAAUUCACCAAUCACUAGUGAAUGUGCAUCUACUAGCACCAGUACCAGUACAAGUGUGUGUGUCUGUGUGCAGGUGAUACUAGCUAAUCUGUGCAGUCCAGACACCAUAUAGCACGAAGCCAAAGUCGCAGCCAGCGCUAUCGAAUCUCGUGCCUAAAACUGCUCCCACUGGUUCACGCACUAGCGCACGAUUGGCGCCGCGUAAAGGGAUGUGGAGACGCGCACCUGGAUUCCGGAGCUCCUGACGGCGCGGUCCGAGCCGCCGACGGGCGCGGAGAAGGCCACCUGCAGAGAGAGAGGGAAACGGUGAGAAGUCGGAAGCCGUCGCCCAGGGGCGGGCCGGUGUCGGCGCGGGCGUACCUGGGACGCGGCGGCGGUGGCCAUGGCCGACGGGCGGACGGAUGGUUCGAGGGAUGGAGGGAGGAGGGAGAGGGGAGGAGGGGUUUUGAUCUGGGGAAAGGUGGGGGGAGGGGGCGGCGGGUUUAUAGGAGGGGAUCGGAGCCGGAGGCCCUUGAGGCGACGGAAGGGACGGCGACGUCCGUCCGCUGCUGGCGCUGGCUGCUGGGGGUUGGUGACGGCGACCCACGCUAGUAAUCAGAUCAUCAGUCGGCCCCUAAAAUUGUCUACUAAAUUAUUCUGGACCGUCGAUUAGAGUAAUCGCCGGGGCUGUGAUUAGAUUAGUGGAUGAAAGUUUCGAUUAGGUUAGCUGAGCCUCGCUCGUUCAGCCGGAGGCAGGUGGUGGCGUGGCUACUUGGCUGGCUGGCUGCUUCGAGCGCCUCCUUCGGCCGCUUGAAAUGAAAUGGCCUCGCGGUGGCCGUGAAGGGCCAAAUAAACAAAGUCAGACGUGCGUGCAACCUGGCUCAGGACAGGUGAGUGAACGCAUGAAGCGGCGCAGGCGUGCUUGUGUGACCGCGUACCUCCUGGAAGCCCUCCAAAACUAGAGAGUGGCCGAUGGGAUUUUAAUCGGUCGGGACUGUCAGGGGGCAGCAGAAGAAUGUGCUGGUCAUUGCGUUCGCCCAACCUGCCCGGUCAUUGUGAACCAACGUGUGGUUGGAUGAUUAGAGGGACUGUGGCAUCUCCAGCCCACCAAGGUUCAAGUCCUGGUGCUCGCAUUUAUUUCAGAAUUUCUGGCGAUGCGUAUUUAGUGGGAGUUAGCCAAAAAACGCGCAUUACGCUGCCAUCAACAUCCCUCCCUCAUCAGAGUCAGACAAACUUUGUUAUAGUAGACCCAUCGAAAAGUCGUCAUGCUAAAAGACCCCACAGGACCACCGCAUCAGAACAACAAUCAUCGUCGAUUAAGAGAAUCGUAGAUUGACAUGAUCAAACAUAUACACACACAAAGUGGGCGAACGAAGACCAGAUCCAUCGAAGACAGCCGCCGACUAAAUCCCGAGAGAUCCAUCGAAGACAGCCACCGACUAAAUCCCGAGAGAUCCAUCGAAGACAGCCACCGACUAAAUCCCGAGAGAUCCACCAGAGACACCGCCAAGCAUGAUUAGACGCUAAACGCACCGCUAGAACGAUGCUAGACGCACCACUAGGACGAAUGUUAGGCGAAAAGAACUUUAUUUUCCAUAGCUCUCUCAUCAGUAAAGGCAAGGAUCCACCAAGCCCCCAUACCAUAAGGCCACACGAGAUGAGGCAAAUCGACAACGGCACCAACCGUCGACGGAAGGAGGAAACCCUAGUCGCCUUUUCGCCCCAAGACACUACUAGUAGUAUUAGGCCUUGUGCAAUGCAAGAUGCUUAGAAAAACAAAUCAGGUUUUUUGGAUGCUUAGGGCAGAUGCUUAAUUAGGCACCCCUUCUAUAGACCUAAGCAUUUGGUGCUUAAGAAAAACUCAAUUUAUUUUACUAAACACCUCCUUAAACACCUUGCAUUGUACUGGGGCCUUACUUCCCAGCCAGAGCACAGGGAUCUGCCCAUGGGACCGAGAUCCAGUGCCUCGCCAGAGGCGGGUCACGGAGUGCCUUGCCCCCUACAUCCAUCGUUCAAAUCAAUCCUACGGCUGGCAGCAUUUCACAUCUAGUCAAAGCGACUCAAUACAGGGGAAAACUACGCGGGCUGCCAGACAAAUUCGCGUGGGCAGGGGAAAACUGCGCGGGCUGGGGCAUCGGCCNNNNNNNNNNNNNNNNNNNNNNNNNNNNNNNNNNNNNNNNNNNNNNNNNNNNNNNNNNNNNNNNNNNNNNNNNNNNNNNNNNNNNNNNNNNNNNNNNNNNNNNNNNNNNNNNNNNNNNNNNNNNNNNNNNNNNNNNNNNNNNNNNNNNNNNNNNNNNNNNNNNNNNNNNNNNNNNNNNNNNNNNNNNNNNNNNNNNNNNNNNNNNNNNNNNNNNNNNNNNNNNNNNNNNNNNNNNNNNNNNNNNNNNNNNNNNNNNNNNNNNNNNNNNNNNNNNNNNNNNNNNNNNNNNNNNNNNNNNNNNNNNNNNNNNNNNNNNNNNNNNNNNNNNNNNNNNNNNNNNNNNNNNNNNNNNNNNNNNNNNNNNNNNNNNNNNNNNNNNNNNNNNNNNNNNNNNNNNNNNNNNNNNNNNNNNNNNNNNNNNNNNNNNNNNNNNNNNNNNNNNNNNNNNNNNNNNNNGCCGCCGCCGCUCGCCCGUCGCGUCCGCCGCCUCCGCUUGCCCGCCGCGCCCGUCGCCGCCCUCGCCCUCGCCGCCCUCUUUCUGGCCCGUCCCCGCUCCCGUCGCCCUCUCUCCGCCCCGCCGCCGCAGGAAACGGAGUGGAUCGAGCUCCGGCCGCGGCCACUGAAGAAAACGGCGUCGACGGGUUCCUCCGUCGCCACUCCGGGCUCCUCCACCCCGCCCCAUCCGACGGGCUCCAACGGCUCCCUCCAUCCAUUCCCGCGGCUCCCCUGCAGUGGCCAUUGAGCUCCAGGCCGACUCAAACAGGUAGUCGUCUUUGCUAUUUAGCUGAUUUUUUUUAUGUGCUGUGUGAAAUUGAUGUGUGUACUGUCCCAUUUAACAGAAUUGUUGCUGAUUGGGCUGCGGAGUUGUGCAAUUUGACAAGAUUUUAGUGUUGUGAGUGUUGUGCAUUUGCAAGUGUUGUGCAAUGGGUGAAAUUGAUAAGGGAAUACCUCAAGUUGGUAUGAGGUUCAGAAAUGUAGAUGAAGCUUGGGUGUUUUGGGUUGCAUAUGGUGGCCGUGCAGGGUUUGAUGUGAGGAAGAGAAACAAGCAUGUAAGCAAGUUUGAUGGUGAAGUGACUUCAUGCAGAUUUGUUUGUUCCAAUGAGGGUCUUAGGAAAAAAGGGAUAACAUUGGAUCAUGUGCCAAAGCGUAUUAGAGCUUAAACAAGAACAAAUUGCAAAGCCCGGAUGACUAUAACAUUGGAUCGAGUGGGGAAAAAUUAUGAAGUCACAGAUAUUGUGCUAGAACACAAUCAUUACCUCCAAUUGCCACAAACUUGUCACUUGAUGGCAUCACAAAGGAAGAUUUCCGAAGUACAAGCUUUUGAAAUAGAAGCCGCUGAUGACUCUGGAAUCAUGCCAAAAGCUGCACAUGAGCUUGCUUGUCGUCAAGUUGGUGGACCACUUAACCUCGGCUACACUUGUGUUGACCAAAAGAAUCAUUUGCGAAGCAAGCGGCAGAGAGAGUUGGCUUUUGGAUAGGCUGGUAGUAUGUUGAAGUACUUCUAUGACAAAAUCAUUUAGAACCCAUCUUUCCAAUAUGCUUUGCAGUUGGACUGUGAGGAGCAUAUAACCAACAUAUUCUGGGCUGAUGCUAAAAUGGUUCUUGACUAUGCACACUUUGGCGAUGUUGUCACAUUCGAUACCACUUUUGGCACAAACAAAGAAUAUAGGCCAUUUGGUGUUUUUCUUGGACUCAAUCAGUUUAGAGAAACCACCAUUUUUGGUGCUGCAUUGCUAUUUGAUGAAACAUGUGACUCAUUUACAUGGCUUUUUGAGACUUUUCUAGCUGCACAUAAUGGGAAGAAACCUAGAACUAUUUAUACGGACCAAGAUGCAGCAAUGGGGAAAGCUAUAGGAAAAGUCUUCACGGAAUCAUAUCAUGGAUUGUGCACCUUUCAUAUAAUGCAAAAUGCUGUCAAGCAUUUAUCACCAUUUAAGGGUGAAGAAAAAGAUGAAGGGAAAGAGAAAGAUGAAGGGAAAGAUGAAGAUGAUGGGAAAGAUGAAGAUGAGGAUGAAGAUGAGGAGUCUCAUAUUCUCACUGAUUUUAGUGAAUGUAUGUAUGGCUAUGAGGACAAAACAGAAUUUCAGGAAGCAUUUAACAAUAUGAGGCAUAAAGUGCACAAGCAAACAUGGUUAGAUAGUAUCUACAAGUUGAAAGAAAAAUGGGCUGAAUGUUAUAUGAGAGAUGUGUUUAGUUUGGGAGUGAGAAGUACACAACUUAGUGAAAGCUUCAACAAUUCAUUGAAAAACCAUUUGAAAUCAGAUUUCCAUAUUGUUCGGUUCUUGAUGCAUUUUGAGAGGACAGUGGAAGUAAAAAGAAGAAAGGAAUUGCAAUCUGAAUUUGAUGCAAGGAAGAAAUUGCCAAGAAUCAAGAUGCACACCCCUAUGUUGGUGCUAGCUGUUGGGGAACGUAGCAGAAAUUCAAAAUUUUCUACGCAUCACCAAGAUCAAUCUAUGGAGUUUACUAGCAACGAGAGGGAAGGAGUGCAUCUACAUACCCUUGUAGAUCGCGAGCGGAAGCGUUCAAGAGAACGGGGUUGAUGGAGUCGUACUCGUCGUGAUCCAAAUCACCGAUGAUCCUAGCGCCGAACGGACGGCACCUCCGCGUUCAACACACGUACGGAGCAGCGACACCUCCUCCUUCUUGAUCCAGCAAGGGGGGAGGAGAGGUUGAUGGAGAUCCAGCAGCACGACGGCGUGGUGGUGGAAGUAGCGGGAUUCCAACAGGGCUUCGCCAAGCGCUGCGGGAGGAGGGAGAUGUGUCACAGGAGGGAGAUGGAGGCGCCAGGGCUUAGGUGUUGCUGCCCUCCCUCCCCCCCCCCACUAUAUAUAGGGCCAAGGGAGAGGGGGGGCGCAGCCUUGGCCCUUCCUCCAAGGAAGGGUGCGGCCAGGGAGGAGUCCAUCCUCCCCAAGGCACCUUGGAGGUGCCUUCCCCCUUUAGGACUCUCCUUUAUCUUAUCCCUUGGCGCAUGGGCCUCUUGGGGCUGGUUCCCUUGGCCCAUAUAGGCCAAGGCGCACACCCCACAGCCCAUGUGGCCCCCCCGGGGCCUGUGGGCCCCUUGGUGGACCCCCGGACCCCUUUCGGCACUCCCGGUACAAUACCGAUAAUGCGCGAAACCUUUCCGGCGACCAAAACAAGACUUCCCAUAUAUAAAUCUUUACCUCCGGACCAUUCCGGAACUCCUCGUGACGUCCGGGAUCUCAUCCGGGACUCCGAACAACUUUCGGGUUACCGCAUACUAAUAUCUCUACAACCCUAGGGUCACCGAACCUUAAGUGUGUAGACCCUACGGGUUCGGGAGACAUGCAGACAUGACCGAGAUGACUCUCCGGUCAAUAACCAACAGCGGGAUCUGGAUACCCAUGUUGGCUCCCACAUGCUCCUCGAUGAUCUCAUCGGAUGAACCACGAUGUCGAGGAUUCAAUCAAUCCCGUAUACAGUUCCCUUUGUCAAUCGGUAUGUUACUUGGCCGAGAUUCGAUCGUCGGUAUCCCGUUACCUUGUUCAAUCCCUAAGUGUACCGUGUCACCGAAGCUUGUUAGAUAGUAUUUUGGGAGUGUCGACUAGUAUUUUGGACAGUGCUUGACUAUAGUAUUUUGGACUUGGGGGCUAACUAUAGUCUUUUGUGCCCUAAGUGUACAAGUAAAAGGGCCAACACUAUGUACUUGAAUGAUUAUGUAAGAACAAAUUUCUAUGGUAACUUGCUUCAAAAAUUAGUUUAUUCACGCCUACAAAAGGCUCUGUACCGUGUUCACCUUUCUGCCCUAUUAAUUUCCUGAACCUCUUAACUGAAUGUCCUUGUAUUUAAAAUGGCUUGGGUUUUCCUUUUUUCUUGAUGUUUCCUAAACCGAACCGAAGUGUUUUUGCUUGCUAAAUUAAACUGUAUUUUGUUACGUUGUUUACAGCCUUGUAAGACUGUUGUUUUGUCAGACUCUUGCUGUUUUGAUAGACUGAACUGCGUGUUAACUGAACUUAUGUUCUGCUCUGUUCUUUGCAUGAAGGGCCUCUGUUUCCUCUGCCAGUUAUUGCUGUUCUGUGUACAGGUGGGUAUUUUGACUGUGAGUUGCUGCUGGCCAUAGGAUCAACAUGGACGCUGGAUGGUAGGGGGCAAGGCGCGCGGUGACUUGACUACAGCAAGGCACGGGAUCUCAGUCCCUGCCCAUGUCACCUUUCAUGGCGUUGCCGGGGGAAAAGAAUCUUUCAUGGCAUUGGCCGAUGGUACCAUCACACCUGCCCUUGCAGGUUCAACGUUACCUGCAAAAGAGAGACCCCAGCAUGCUCGAGCACAAGCAGAAAACCAUGCCACAUACAACUGUAAAAGUAAAACUCUGAUUUUCAGUUUCAACUUGCUAUCCCUCUUCACCCUUCAACAUUUGCCAAAGAGCAGAGCAGGGAGAGCUUCUGCGCCGGUUUAUUUGUCUUUUUACAUGCAGUCCAGCAAACACAAAGCACAACCCAAACAUCUAGACACACUACUAUAACACACUACUAUCUUCUUCUUCCCACAAAGGGCACACAGACAGACAGACAGACAGACAGACGACUCUCUUCUUCCUGUUUUUGACAACACAAACAACUACAAACAGCACGGAGUUUCUUCCCCCCUACUACAUCUACAACAGACAGACCGACAGACACAUGCAUGCGCUGGGGGUUGGUUCAGGCUCUCGCAUAGCCUGCAGACACGGCUUCUUUCGCUCGCUCGCUCGCUCAUAGCCCCAUCAGGUGGUCGAGGCCCCCGUGAGGGCCUCCUCCACCCAUGCCGCCGAGAGAGCCCCCGCCUCCCAUGCCGCCGCCGAGAGAGCCUCCCCCGCCCAUGCCGCCGAGAGA